rnacentral:rRNA from 1 species
UACGAAGGGGGCUAGCGUUGUUCGGAAUUACUGGGCGUAAAGGGCGCGUAGGCGGUACUUCAAGUCAGGCGUGAAAGCCCCGGGCUCAACCUGGGAACCGCGCUUGAGACUGGAGAACUAGAGUUCGGGAGAGGAUGGUGGAAUUCCCAGUGUAGAGGUGAAAUUCGUAGAUAUUGGGAAGAACACCGAUGGCGAAGGCAGCCAUCUGGACCGACACUGACGCUGAGGCGCGACAGCGUGGGGAGCAAACAGG